GAUGAACGCUGGCGGCGUGCCUAAUACAUGCAAGUCGAGCGAACAGAUGAGGAGCUUGCUCCUCUGACGUUAGCGGCGGACGGGUGAGUAACACGUGGAUAACCUACCUAUAAGACUGGGAUAACUUCGGGAAACCGGAGCUAAUACCGGAUAAUAUAUUGAACCGCAUGGUUCAAUAGUGAAAGACGGUUUUGCUGUCACUUAUAGAUGGAUCCGCGCCGCAUUAGCUGGUUGGUAAGGUAACGGCUUUCCAAGGCAACGAUGCGUAGCCGACCUGUGAGGGGGAUCGGCCACACUAGAACUGGGACACGGUCCAGAGUCCUACGGGAGGCAGCAGUAGGGAAUCGGCCGCAAUGGGCGAAAGCAUGACGGAGCGACGGCGCGUGAGAGAUGAAGGUCUUCGGAUCGUAAAACUCGGUUAUGAGGGAAGAACAAAUGUGUAAGUAACUAUGCACGUCUUGACGGUACCGAGUCAGAAAGCCACGGCUAACUACGUG
rnacentral:rRNA from 1 species